AAGUGAGAAUGCCGGUGUGAGUAGCGAAAGACGGGUGAGAAUCCCGUCCACCGAUUGACUAAGGUUUCCAGAGGAAGGCUCGUCCGCUCUGGGUUAGUCGGGUCCUAAGCUGAGGCCGACAGGCGUAGGCGAUGGAUAACAGGUUGAUAUUCCUGUACCACCUAUAAUCGUUUUAAUCGAUGGGGGGACGCAGUAGGAUAGGCGAAGCGUGCGAUUGGAUUGCACGUCUAAGCAGUAAGGCUGAGUAUUAGGCAAAUCCGGUACUCAUUAAGGCUGAGCUGUGAUGGGGAGAAGACAUUGUGUCUUCGAGUCGUUGAUUUCACACUGCCGAGAAAAGCCUCUAGAUAGAAAAUAGGUGCCCGUACCGCAAACCGACACAGGUAGUCAAGAUGAGAAUUCUAAGGUGAGCGAGCGAACUCUCGUUAAGGAACUCGGCAAAAUGACCCCGUAACUUCGGGAGAAGGGGUGCUCUUUAGGGUUAACGCCCAGAAGAGCCGCAGUGAAUAGGCCCAAGCGACUGUUUAUCAAAAACACAGGUCUCUGCUAAACCGUAAGGUGAUGUAUAGGGGCUGACGCCUGCCCGGUGCUGGAAGGUUAAGAGGAGUGGUUAGCUUCUGCGAAGCUACGAAUCGAAGCCCCAGUAAACGGCGGCCGUAACUAUAACGGUCCUAAGGUAGCGAAAUUCCUUGUCGGGUAAGUUCCGACCCGCACGAAAGGCGUAACGAUUUGGGCACUGUCUCAACGAGAGACUCGGUGAAAUCAUAGUACCUGUGAAGAUGCAGGUUACCCGCGACAGGACGGAAAGACCCCGUGGAGCUUUACUGUAGCCUGAUAUUGAAAUUCGGCACAGCUUGUACAGGAUAGGUAGGAGCCUUUGAAACGUGAGCGCUAGCUUACGUGGAGGCGCUGGUGGGAUACUACCCUAGCUGUGUUGGCUUUCUAACCCGCACCACUUAUCGUGGUGGGAGACAGUGUCAGGCGGGCAGUUUGACUGGGGCGGUCGCCUCCUAAAAGGUAACGGAGGCGCUCAAAGGUUCCCUCAGAAUGGUUGGAAAUCAUUCAUAGAGUGUAAAGGCAUAAGGGAGCUUGACUGCGAGACCUACAAGUCGAGCAGGGUCGAAAGACGGACUUAGUGAUCCGGUGGUUCCGCAUGGAAGGGCCAUCGCUCAACGGAUAAAAGCUACCCCGGGGAUAACAGGCUUAUCUCCCCCAAGAGUUCACAUCGACGGGGAGGUUUGGCACCUCGAUGUCGGCUCAUCGCAUCCUGGGGCUGUAGUCGGUCCCAAGGGUUGGGCUGUUCGCCCAUUAAAGCGGUACGCGAGCUGGGUUCAGAACGUCGUGAGACAG
rnacentral:rRNA from 1 species